CGCUGGGACUCCGCCGCGGUUGUCAUCGCAUUGCCCUCUCUCCACGCCCUUGGAAAUGGGGCAGAAGGAAUCACUUGAAAUCGUGACCGGCGAAUAUGAUCAGUAUCCUUUCACAGAUCUUUUGGUUGGGAGAGUAACUAGUUGAGAUUAACCUAUGUAUUCUGUUGGGGGAAGGAACGAUCUUGAUGGAGCUUGUUGAUGCAUGAGCGUCUUAUUGGUGUUGCCUUAGGGACCGCCUUCACGGCUUCGGUCCUUUUCCAGAACCGCAGGGCCAUACACUGACAACAGAUUCGUUUAGUAUGAGGACAGAGAUCUAUGACAAUAAGAUGCUAUCUUUUACCCUGCAGCCCAAAGAGCACAUGAUUGCAAAGAAUAGCUCCUAUAAAUUUGCCCGAAUUUGGAACAAAGCUGUAGAUGGGACAUCGGGGCCACUGAUCAUAUAUCCAGCUCAUG